GAUAUCAUCGGCAGUCAGACUGCGAGUGCUAAGAUCCGUAGUCGAAAGGGAAACAGCCCAGACCACCAGCUAAGGUCCCAAAAUAACUGUUAAGUGGAAAAGGAUGUGGGGUUGCACAGACAACUAGGAUGUUAGCUUAGAAGCAGCUAUUCAUUCAAAGAGUGCGUAAUAGCUCACUAGUCGAGUGACCCUGCGCCGAAAAUGUACCGGGGCUAAAACAGUUUACCGAAGCUGUGGAUGACACAAAAGUGUCAUGGUAGGAGAGCGUUCUAUGUGUGAAGAAGGUGU
rnacentral:rRNA from 1 species